rnacentral:ncRNA from 2 species
GGUCAAGAGUGCCAGCGUCAAGUCCGGGCUUGCUGGCCGGCAACCCUCCUCCGCGGCGGGGUGCCCCCGGUUGUGACCAGGCCGUGUCGGGGUGUCCGGCUCGGCAAGUGCGGACC